UUUAGGGAGACCUUACCCAUUCAUACAUCUUCCGAUUGUUAUAGAUAAUGAUUGUGGUCAUCCCAAGGUCGUGCGUGGACUAGGUAAUGCUCAAGGCUUUCAAACAAUUAUAGGUUCGGUAAUUAAUUAGUUAAUUAUUAUGGUUAAUUAGUUAAUUGAUUAUCACUUAUGGGCUAUUAGCUCAGGUGGUUAGAGCGCACCCCUGAUAAGGGUGAGGUCCCUGGUUCGAGUCCRGGAUGGCCCACCUGAACAAAAGUUAGGAGUUAAUAGUUAAGAGUUAGGAGUAAAAGCAAUUCAUAACUCAUCACUCAUGACUCAUAACUAAAUGUUGGGGGGUAUAGCUCAGUUGGUAGAGCGCUGCCUUUGCAAGGCAGAUGUCAGCGGUUCGAGUCCGCUUACCUCCACCAAAUUUUUGUGAUUAAAUCAUUAAUAAGUAAAUAGGAAAUUCUUCAGCACCCAUACUUUAUAUGUAAAAAGUUGGAAUGCUGGAUUUUUGUUCCAGUCAGAACCUUGAAAACUGCAUAUUGAAGCGAAAUGAUUUUUAGGUAGUGUUUAAUUACUGAUGUUAAUUAAACGUUGUAUCUAGAUAUCCUAUUUUGUUAAAAAGCCAAUGAUUGAAUUGGAAAAUCUUUGU
rnacentral:tRNA from 1 species